rnacentral:rRNA from 1 species
UUUCCGGUUGAUCCCGCCGGACCUGACUGCUAUCGGAUUGAUACUAAGCCAUGCGAGUCUUUGUAGUAAUACAAGGCAGACGGCUCAGUAACACGUAGUCAAUCUACCCUAUGGACGGGGAUAACCUCGGGAAACUGAGAAUAAUACUCGAUAGAUCAUUAUGCCUGGAACGGUUUAUGGUUCAAAUGAAUUUCGCCAUAGGAUGGGACUGCGGUCUAUCAGCUUGUUGGUGAUGUAAUGGACCACCAAGGCUAUAACAGAUACGGGCUCUGAUAGGAGAAGCCCGGAUAUGGGUACUGAAACACGGACCCAGGCCCUAUGGGGCGCAGCAGGCGAUAAAUACUUUGCAAUGUGCGAAAGCACGACAAGGUUAAUCCGAGUGAUUCCUGCUAAAGGAAUCUUUUGUUAGUCAUAAUACCACUGAUGAAUAAGGGGUGGGCAAKUUCUGGUGUCAGCCGCCGCGGUAAAACCAGCACCUCAAGUGGUCAGGAUGUUUAUUGGGCCUAAAGCAUCCGUAGCCGGCUUUGUAAGUUUUCGGUUAAAUCUAUUAUGUUCAACAUAUAGGCUGCCGGGAAUACUGCAAAGCUAGGGAGUGGGAGAGGUAGACGGUACUCCGUAGGAAGGGGUAAAAUCCUUUGAUCUAUGGAUGACCACCUGUGGCGAAGGCGGUCUACCAGAACACGUCUGACGGUGAGGGAUGAAAGCUGGGGGAGCAAACCGGAUUAGAUACCCGGGUAGUCCCAGCUGUAAACUAUGCAAACUCAGUGAUGCAUUGGCUUGUGGCCAGUGCAGUGCCGCAGGGAAGCCGUUAAGUUUGCCGCCUGGGAAGUACGUACGCAAGUAUGAAACUUAAAGGAAUUGGCGGGGGAGCACCACAAGGGGUGAAGCCUGCGGUUCAAUUGGAGUCAACGCCGGG